rnacentral:lncRNA from 1 species
UGUAAAAAUGUGGUUUUUCGUUAAAGUGAACAGUACCGGGAGUUUUCGUUAAAGUUCCCUAAUUUUAUUUACUGAAAAAUAAUUAAAUUUUAAUGAAAAAUUCUUGAAUUUUAAUAAAAAGACUUAAUUUUUAAUGAAAAAGACACAAUUAAAAAAAAAAAACCUGACACAUGCGCGGGGGACUUAUACACUAUUUAUGAAACUGAACAUUGUUUAUAAAACUAAACACUAUUUAUAAAACUGAACGGUAUUAUACUAUUUAUUGAUCUAAUUUCAUAAAUAGUGUCUAGUUUUUUGUCCACUUUCAUAAAUAGUGUCUAAUUCUUGAUCAUGUUUCAUAAAUAAUGCCUAGUUAUUAGGUCCAGUUUCAUAAACAAUGUAUUGUAGUUGUUACAGUUUCAUUAAUAAUGUCUCUUUCUUGGUUCAGUUUUAUAAAUAGUGUCUACUUAUUGGUCCACUUUCAUAAAUAGUGCCUAGUUCUUAGUCAUAUUUUAUAAAUAUUGUCUAAUUCUUACUCUAGAUUUAUAAAUAGUGUAUAGUCCAGUUUUAUAAAUAGUUUCUACCAAUUGGUUUAGUUUUUGAAAUAAUGCCUAAUUCUUGUUUUUAUUUCAUAAAUAGUGUAUACUUAUUGGUUCAAUUUCAUAAAUAGUGUCUACUUAUUGAUUUAGUUUCAUGAAUAGUGUCUACUUAUUGGUGAAGUUUUAUAAAUAGUGUUUAAUUCUUGGUUUAGUUUCAUAAGAUUUGAAACUUAGACCCUUUUUGGUCCUGUAAAAGCACCCAUUAUGCCAAAAACGAUGAACCCAGAAGUGACUCUUUAGAUCAAAACCUUGAGAAGAUUAUGUUCUCAAUAAUUAUAUUUAAAAAGCUGUUUUCAAUUACCAAAUUAAAAUUUUCUCACUUUUUUCAUAUACCUACAAUAAUAAAUGUAGCUCUCCAUUCAAUUUCUUGAGCUUGGAUGUCAUCUUCGAGAAUUUUUUCCUUGUAGUCGUAACACAAAUGGUAUACCACGUGUUAUUAUAUAAGUGGUGGAAAAUUUUAUUUUUUAUGUUAUUAAUUUUUUAAUAUAAGAAUCUCACAACUUAUAUAGAGUGUACCACCCCGUAUUCUGGGCACAUUGAAAAGUUUCUUGUCAUCAUGACUACUAUUGGAAAACAACACCACUAUUGGAAAACAACACCACACAAAUAAAACAGGAGAAUGUAAUUCAAUUCAAAGUAUUUUCUUAUAAUGUAGCUCACGAUGGGACAAAAAGGUAGGAGAA